rnacentral:rRNA from 1 species
UAGCGGUCCACUAAUACGUUGACAAACAUGUAUUAAAGGACUAAAGUCGCGUAAGGUUCGCUCGUCUACUGGAACACUGCCGUAACUUCGUGACGCUUGUACACAAAGACACCAUCCAGAGCAAGCAAAAGCGUAGACGUGAAUAGGCCCAGAUACACAUUAGAAACUCACGUCACCACUCUGUUUUAUUUUGUGGGGCACCUACUACUUACAUAACCCAACAAUUCUCAACCCUGUCUGUCCUUAAAAUAUCGUACUAAGGUAGGAAAUCAUCGUUCUUUACCAGCUUUUAUAUAAGGUCGUUUUUCUUUUUUCUUUGCCAACUUUGUUCC